AUGGUGGGGCGUGCCCGGCCGCACGCUGGAGGCCGUCCUCGAGUACAUCGAGGGCGGCAACACGCCGAGGCUCGAGUACCCCGCUCCCCCGUCCUUCUCUCGCCGACGUGGGAGUUGCUGGACGCCGAGGCACAUGGAGCAGCCCGGGGCGUCCUCCUCCUCGUCCGGUCGCUCGUCCGGCUCUCCCUGCCUCCGCCCCGUCAAGCCGGAACCCCAGGACAUGCCUGUCAGCGGGCGCACCCGCAGCUCCGGCGUCCGCAUCGGCGACUCCACCCCCCCUCUGGCCGCCUCGUCCUCGUCGCGCCCAAGCCGGAGCCCGGCCUCCCCGCGGAGUACGAGGAGAUAGCCCGGCGCGGCUUCUCCGACGAGGAGACCCUAAAGUGGGCGCGGGACGACUACCUCCACGACGAGAUGGUCCGGUAG
rnacentral:rRNA from 1 species